rnacentral:rRNA from 1 species
UGGGGAAUUUUGGACAAUGGGCGCAAGCCUGAUCCAGCCAUGCCGCGUGCGGGAAGAAGGCCUUCGGGUUGUAAACCGCUUUUGUCAGGGAAGAAAUCUUCUGAGUUAAUACCUCGGGAGGAUGACGGUACCUGAAGAAUAAGCACCGGCUAACUACGUGCCAGCAGCCGCGGUAAUACGUAGGGUGCAAGCGUUAAUCGGAAUUACUGGGCGUAAAGCGUGCGCAGGCGGUUUUGUAAGACAGAGGUGAAAUCCCCGGGCUCAACCUGGGAACUGCCUUUGUGACUGCAAGGCUUGAGUGCGGCAGAGGGGGAUGGAAUUCCGCGUGUAGCAGUGAAAUGCGUAGAUAUGCGGAGGAACACCGACGGCGAAGGCAAUCCCCUGGGCCUGCACUGACGCUCAUGCACGAAAGCGUGGGGAGCAAACAGGAUUAGAUACCCUGGUAGUCCACGCCCUAAACGAUGUCAACUGGUUGUUGGGAAGGUUCCUUCUCAGUAACGUAGCUAACGCGUGAAGUUGACCGCCUGGGGAGUACGGCCGCAAGGUUGAAACUUAAAUGAAUUGACGGGGUCAUAGC